rnacentral:ncRNA from 1 species
GUAAAGCGAAUGAUUAGAGGCCUUGGGGUUGAAACAACCUUAACCUAUUCUCAAACUUUAAAUAUGUAAGAAGUCCUUGUUACUUAAUUGAACGUGGACAUCCGAAUGUACCAACACUAGUGGGCCAUUUUUGGUAAGCA